UCAAAUUCUCCAAAGAAUCAGUCCCCAAUUGCUGUCGAGAUUUUUACCCUUUCUCGGUGAUCAAAUCCCCCAAGAAUCAAUCUCCAGUCGCUGUCGACAUUUAGGUUCUUCUUCAUUAUGCUGAGAUUGCAAGUCUUAUUUUUCUAUCAUGAUUGGAAGCCUCCAACUUGCUGCCGAGAAUGGGAUUUCCUGCAUUUGUGAAUCAAUUGUUGCCGAAAUUAAUUUGAAAACUUGAACAAGUUUAUGUCUCUACUGUACAAGCACGCAAUUAUCCUGUGACUGCUUUCCAAUGGCAUCCAGAGUGCAGAUCUAAUUUUACAAAUAAUGAAGAUAUUGAAGUGAUUUUAUUUUGAAAACUCCUUCAAAGGAACUUAGAGGGCAUUAUUAUUAUCGAUUUAUUUCGAUAUUUAUAUUUUUUUUAGUUAUUUUCAAGAUAUGUAUAAAGUAAAUGUGAAUACUUAUUUAUAAUUAUUUUUCCAGACAAUUCUUAUAACAUUAUUGACUUAAUUACAUAUAUUGAUG